ACUUAGAUAGUUUAAUUAAAAUCUUGAUUUGUGGUGUCAGGGAUGUAUAAUAAAUAUACUUUAAGUC
rnacentral:tRNA from 1 species